AAUAAACAGCUUUCCACUCCAUCCUACUGGGGAUCUCUGGAAGACAGUGUGGUACCCAACUCUGCAUUGCCUACCAAAGGGCUAAGGCUCCUGUUCUUCAUUGACAGAGGGCUGCUCUCUACCCUGCCCCUCAUGUGGGCUGAACAUGCUCCUGCAGCCAGAGAAAGCGCUCAGACACAGUCCUGGUGUUCGAAGUAGAAACCAUUGGUCCACACGUGAUUGGAAAAGGAUUUGAGGCGUUGGGCUGACACAGUCAUGGGAGACUGACUCAUACUCGGUGCACAUAUUCAAACUCAUAUUUACAUUCACACGGCUGUUUCCACUUCUCCAGCCAAUGGAACUUCAUGAAUAAGAAUUUGUCUUCUCCUCCCAGGCAGGACUGGCUUGAGCAACAAGAGACGUGGAGGCUGGCUCUGGAGAGAGAGCCAAAGAAUGUUCAAACUACCACAAAUUACACUCAU